rnacentral:lncRNA from 1 species
AUCCCUGGUAUCAACUUUGCAAACUACAUACCCUAAAGAGCAUGCAAAAAAGAAGGCAACCAACUCCCAUCUUAAAUCUUCUACUUUUCAGGGACUCUCCCAAGGUUGUUGAGUUGCCAUCCAAGGAAGUUAAAUAGGUAGGUACUGGACAUAGAUGAAGCUGAUGGAGAGACCUGUUCUUUUGGAAGACCAGCUCCAACUGCUUGCAGAAAGAUUUUUCUUCUUGACCUGUAUCAGAGUAGGAACGUUUAGAUUCUUUUGCUAUUGUGUAGAAAGAGUUGACAAGAAAAUUUAUAAAGUGAUAUGACACGGUUUAUUCACCUUAAGACAAUGCGGGGCCAUUAAAGCUGUCUUGCAGUCUGCAUUUAAUGCUGCAAGAAUAUUGUCCUGAAAGCUCAAAGUAUUUAAACUUCAUUGUUUUGGCUCAGUUCACCCACAGGAGUUACACUGGAAGAAAGAGAAGAAUGAGAAAGGCUUCCUGUUGUCCUAAGGAAGGUCUGAACAGGGGAGCUUGGACAAGCGAAGAAGACAAGCUUCUCUCAGACUACAUCUUGGCCCAUGGCCUUGGGAGAUGGAGAAGCCUGCCUGCCAAUGCCGGUAAGAGUAUUUGAUUCUGCAAUUCUAAGCCCAACAAUUUAAUAACAGCUGUGAGUGAGAAGCACAAAAUGGAGAUACUAUUUCCAUGAAGCAUGUCCAUGCAUGUUACAUGUAGGAUUUGGAUGACAAAUCUUAGUUUCAGAUUACAGAGAAAAAUAAGAGUAACAGAUACUGAAGCAGAUCUUUGAAGCUUCAGAUUAUGUCUUGUGUCCCUUUUACACUCAUCCAAUCUCUUGGAAACCUCAUGCAAACUAUCAGUCUUCCCAAUCCAGCAACCUAAAGCAGUCAAUGCUAAAAACUGUAAUUUCUUUUCUUUCACAUAUUUGCUGGAAAUUUUUUGUAUGCCACAAUCAAUUAACAGAGACUAGUCUGGAUCAACCUGAAGCAUUGUUUAAUAUUCAUGUUAAAGUUUCCAAAAUUGAGAAAUGUGUUUAAUGACAUGCUAGUACAUAUGGAAUAAUUUCUGACCAUCUCCAAUUUUCCCUAAGUUGCUGGAAUUGAGAAGGCAACCUCACAUUUGCCAAGACACAUAGUAAAUCUAAGAGCAAAUUUCAAAAAUUAUUUGACUCAAUCAAGGACAACCGUAUUGGUGUUAAAAGAUAAUGCCAGUGACA